GAUGAACGCUGACAGAAUGCUUAACACAUGCAAGUCAACUUGAACUUCGGUUUGGGUGGCGGACGGGUGAGUAACGCGUAAAGAACUUGCCUCACAGCUAGGGACAACAUUUGGAAACGAAUGCUAAUACCUGAUAUUAUGAUUUUAGGGCAUCCUAGAAUUAUGAAAGCUAUAUGCGCUGUGAGAGAGCUUUGCGUCCCAUUAGCUAGUUGGAGAGGUAACGGCUCACCAAGGCGAUGAUGGGUAGCAGGCCUGGGAGGGUGAACGGCCACAAGGGGACUGAGACACGGCCCUUACGCCUACGGGAGGCAGCAGUGAGGAAUAUUGGACAAUGGACCAAGAGUCUGAUCCAGCAAUUCUGUGUUCACGAUGAAGUUUUUCGGAAUGUAAAGUGCUUUCAGUGGGGAAGAAAAAAAUGACGGUACCAACAGAAGAAGUGACGGCUAAAUACGUG
rnacentral:rRNA from 1 species